rnacentral:rRNA from 1 species
UUCGGUUUGAAGUUCUUUAUGACUGAGUGGCGGACGGGUGAGUAACGCGUGGGUAACCUGCCUUGUACUGGGGGAUAGCAGCUGGAAACGGCUGGUAAUACCGCAUAAGCGCACAAUGUUGCAUGACAUGGUGUGAAAAACUCCGGUGGUAUAAGAUGGACCCGCGUCUGAUUAGCUAGUUGGUGAGAUAACGGCCCACCAAGGCGACGAUCAGUAGCCGACCUGAGAGGGUGACCGGCCACAUUGGGACUGAGACACGGCCCAGACUCCUACGGGAGGCAGCAGUGGGGAAUAUUGCACAAUGGAGGAAACUCUGAUGCAGCGACGCCGCGUGAGUGAAGAAGUAAUUCGUUAUGUAAAGCUCUAUCAGCAGGGAAGAUAGUGACGGUACCUGACUAAGAAGCUCCGGCUAAAUACGUGCCAGCAGCCGCGGUAAUACGUAUGGAGCAAGCGUUAUCCGGAUUUACUGGGUGUAAAGGGAGUGUAGGUGGCCAUGCAAGUCAGAAGUGAAAAUCCGGGGCUCAACCCCGGAACUGCUUUUGAAACUGUAAGGCUGGAGUGCAGGAGGGGUGAGUGGAAUUCCUAGUGUAGCGGUGAAAUGCGUA